GACGAACGCUGGCGGCGUGCUUAACACAUGCAAGUCGAACGGAAAGGCCUACUUUCCCUUGUGGAUUGCGGGUGCUCGAGUGGCGAACGGGUGAGUAACACGUGAGUGAUCUGCCCCCAACUUGGGUAUAAGCCUGGGAAACUGGGUCUAAUUCCCGAUAGGACUGCAGGGUGGUGCCUGUGGUGGAAAACGAUUUUCUAGUGGUUGGGGAUGAGCUCGCGGCCUAUCAGCUUGUUGGUGGGGUAAUGGCCUACCAAGGCGGCGACGGGUAGCCGGCCUGAGAGGGUGGACGGCCACAUUGGGACUGAGAUACGGCCCAGACUCCUACGGGAGGCAGCAGUGGGGAAUAUUGCACAAUGGGCGGAAGCCUGAUGCAGCGACGCCGCGUGGGGGAUGACGGCCUUCGGGUUGUAAACUCCUUUCGACCGCGAGGAAGCCACCUGGUUGGAAGGGUGGUGACGGUAGUGGUAGAAGAAGCACCGGCUAACUACGUG
rnacentral:rRNA from 1 species